CAGCAUGGUGGAGUGCAGCUCCUGCAACUCCCUGCAGGAGGUGACUGGCUUCCUGGCAGUAAGAAAAGGAUGGAUAUGGUGUGAUGCGACAGCACGUGAAAAAUGUGAGGCCUGCAACAAUGCCCUUGUGUUAAAUUGGGUGGUUUGAAGGCUGAGGAGGAAGGAGGCUAGAACAGAACAGUCAGACUACUACAAGAUCCUCUCAUGGCUGAGACACUGACAGAGAAGUGGCUACCACAGGAAUAACAACUGCUUUGCAUCCUUCAGAGCAACGGUGAAAGGCAACUAUUGAGGCUCUUGGCCUCUCCUUGCAGAAGAUGGUGAAGAAAACCCUAUAAGCCAAGCACAUGGGGCACAUACCCCAAGAGUGCAGACCAACAUACCACUUGAACCAUUUCCAGAAUGUCACUGAUUGGGAAAUGGUCCACAAUUGACAUAGGUCAGAGAUGUCCACUCUUAACAUUGCCAAGGGUCCAAGAAGAAGGGUCAUCUUUAGGCACUGGAGUCUCCUGGUUGUGAUCCUCUGGAGUUUCCCCACAAUUCCCUAAGCAAAAGAGGAAGACCCCAAUUGGCUGAACAC